rnacentral:rRNA from 1 species
ACGGGUGAGUAAUGCCUAGGAAUCUGCCUGGUAGUGGGGGAUAACGCUCGGAAACGGACGCUAAUACCGCAUACGUCCUACGGGAGAAAGCAGGGGACCUUCGGGCCUUGCGCUAUCAGAUGAGCCUAGGUCGGAUUAGCUAGUUGGUGAGGUAAUGGCUCACCAAGGCGACGAUCCGUAACUGGUCUGAGAGGAUGAUCAGUCACACUGGAACUGAGACACGGUCCAGACUCCUACGGGAGGCAGCAGUGGGGAAUAUUGGACAAUGGGCGAAAGCCUGAUCCAGCCAUGCCGCGUGUGUGAAGAAGGUCUUCGGAUUGUAAAGCACUUUAAGUUGGGAGGAAGGGCAGUAACCUAAUACGUUAUUGUUUUGACGUUACCGACAGAAUAAGCACCGGCUAACUCUGUGCCAGCAGCCGCGGUAAUACAGAGGGUGCAAGCGUUAAUCGGAAUUACUGGGCGUAAAGCGCGCGUAGGUGGUUUGUUAAGUUGAAUGUGAAAUCCCCGGGCUCAACCUGGGAACUGCAUCCAAAACUGGCAAGCUAGAGUAGGGCAGAGGGUGGUGGAAUUUCCUGUGUAGCGGU